AGUGAACGCUGGCGGCAUGCCUAACACAUGCAAGUCGAACGGCAGCACAGUAAGAGCUUGCUCUUACGGGUGGCGAGUGGCGGACGGGUGAGGAAUACAUCGGAAUCUACUUUUUCGUGGGGGAUAACGUAGGGAAACUUACGCUAAUACCGCAUACGACCUACGGGUGAAAGCAGUGGAUCUUCGGACCUUGCGCGAUUCAAUUAGCCGAUGUCGGAUUAGCUAGUUGGCGGGGUAAAGGCCCACCAAGGCGACGAUCCGUAGCUGGUCUGAGAGGAUGAUCAGCCACACUGGAACUGAGACACGGUCCAGACUCCUACGGGAGGCAGCAGUGGGGAAUAUUGGACAAUGGGCGCAAGCCUGAUGCAGCCAUACCGCGUGGGUGAAGAAGGCCUUCGGAUUGUAAAGCCCUUUUGUUGGGAAAGAAAAGCAGCAGGUUAAUACCCCGCUGUUCUGACGGUACCCAAAGAAUAAGCACCGGCUAACUUCGUG
rnacentral:rRNA from 1 species